AGCAGUAGCCGCGGUAAUACAGAGGGUGCGAGCGUUAAUCGGAUUUACUGGGCGUAAAGCGUGCGUAGGCGGCUAAUUGAGUCGGAUGUGAAAUCCCCGAGCUUAACUUGGGAACUGCAUUUGAAACUGGCAGGCUAGAGUCUUGUAGAGGGGGGUAGAAUUCCAGGUGUAGCGGUGAAAUGCGUAGAGAUCUGGAGGAAUACCGGUGGCGAAGGCGGCCCCCUGGACAAAGACUGACGCUCAGGUGCGAAAGCGUGGGGAGCAAACAGGAUUAGAUACCCCGGUAGUCCCUGUCUCUUAUAC
rnacentral:rRNA from 1 species